UGAUAAAAUGACCAAACUUUAGGCAAUCCGCCCAUGAGAGAAGAAAUGAAAGGAAGUGUUGCCAUUUCCUUGGGCAAUCUGCCCAUAACAAAGAAAAAUGGGAUGAAGGCUCAUUUUACCCUUGUUUUGUCCACCACCUGAGAGAGAGAGAGAAAAGAGAAGAAAAGCUACAUACAAGGAAAGGCUCGAUUUUUAGAAGAAAAGUGUGAAGAAAACAAGUAAGUUCCAUGAGAGAUCCACCCAUUUGGAAGAGAUAUGGAAGGAAAAUAGCCUUGUGAGGCUUCCACCUGAGAAGAGAGAAAGAGUUGAGUGAAAAAGGCUUGGAGGAGGCUCGGUUUAGUGGAAGCUAGGAGAAAAACCAAAAGGUAAGUAGAACCUAAACCCUAAACCAAAAAACCUUCCAAGCUAAGGAAGGUAAGUAAAACCUUGAUUUUGGUUAUGAUUUCUUGAGGAAAUAAGUUGGUAAUUGUGUGAGAAUGUUUGUGGCAGCAAAGGUCAUCCAAGAUUUGAAAGAAAUAGAUGCAUGCGUGUGGAUCAAUCUUGGAAUGCAUGGUGAUUUUGAGAUAGUUAAGUAAUGGGUGAGCAUUUUAGUCUUGAAAUCACACGUAAACAAGAGAAAUGAUAUGUAUGCUAAUUGUUUAUGUUUGUGGAAGCAAUGAAGACCAUGGAUGAGAGGAAAUUGUGAAUCAUAUGUGGGACUCAAGCUAAAACCGAGACGUGAGCAUGCAAUGUGUCCAAAUUGUGUUGUGUUGGUUAUGAACAGUUGAUAAUAUGUGAAAUGCAUGUUAAAAUGCUUGUGGUUGAGGUUGAAGAAAAAUAUGAAAUUUGGUAAAGGAAUUAUUAACCAAUCUACUACCCAUAUUUGUGUAUGAUUAAGCUUAUUGAGUUUAAUUUGUUUCUAGGAAAUGUUUGUCGUAGUGGCACGCCGGAAGAGGUAACGGGUGACCUGCAAGUAGAAUUAGUUAGAUACGCAUUUAAGUCAAUAGUGACGAAGCAUCCCGCUAUUGUAAAAUAGUGAUCAGCUUAUCUUGUAGUCAUUGGCAUUUUCAGCCCAACGGGAUAGGUUCUCUUGUGAAACUCAAACACCAAUAGCGAUCGAGGAGUGGUCGUUACAUUUAAAGAAUAAAUAAAGAAAAGGAAAAGAAAGGUGAGGAAAAAGCUUGGGAAAGAAAACCGCACCUUGAAAAAAAAAGAAAAAUGAGAAUCAGCUUGGAAGCAGAAAGAAAGAGGAAGGGAAGGAGAAAGGAAGAAAGGAGGAAAGAAGAAAGGAAGAAAAGAGAGAGAAGAAAAGAGAAAGGAAGGUUCAGUUUUGGAGAAACUAGAGAAAAAUUGAGAAGUUUUCCUUUCACAUGCCUUUGUUGGAGUUUAAAGAGACCUUGGUGGGUUGGCUUAGAGAU